rnacentral:rRNA from 1 species
UCGAGAGAUUGAGGGGUGCCCGAAAGGGAGCCUGAACACAGGUGCUGCAUGGCUGUCGUCAGCUCGUGUCGUGAGAUGUUGGGUUAAGUCCCGCAACGAGCGCAACCCUUGUCAUUAGUUGCUACGAAAGGGCACUCUAAUGAGACUGCCGGUGACAAACCGGAGGAAGGUGGGGAUGACGUCAAGUCCUCAUGGCCCUUAUGGGUAGGGCUUCACACGUCAUACAAUGGUACAUACAGAGGGCCGCCAACCCGCGAGGGGGAGCUAAUCCCAGAAAGUGUAUCGUAGUCCGGAUCGCAGUCUGCAACUCGAUGCGUGAAGUCGGAAUCGCUAGUAAUCGCGGAUCAGCAUGUCGCGGUGAAUACGUUCCCGGCCUU